rnacentral:rRNA from 1 species
AACGAACGCUGGCGGCAUGCCUAACACAUGCAAGUCGAACGAGACCUUCGGGUCUAGUGGCGCACGGGUGCGUAACGCGUGGGAACCUGCCCUUAGGUUCGGAAUAACUCCCCGAAAGGGGUGCUAAUACCGGAUAAUGUCUUCGGACCAAAGAUUUAUCGCCUUUGGAUGGGCCCGCGUUGGAUUAGCUAGUUGGUAGGGUAAAAGCCUGCCAAGGCGACGAUCCAUAGCUGGUCUGAGAGGAUGAUCAGCCACACUGGGACUGAGACACGGCCCAGACUCCUACGGGAGGCAGCAGUGGGGAAUAUUGGACAAUGGGCGAAAGCCUGAUCCAGCAAUGCCGCGUGAGUGAUGAAGGCCUUAGGGUUGUAAAGCUCUUUUACCCGGGAUGAUAAUGACAGUACCGGGAGAAUAAGCUCCGGCUAACUCCGU